AGAGUCUGAUCAUGGCUCAGAACGAACGCUGGCGGCGCGUCUUAAGCAUGCAAGUCGAGCGGCAAGGUGUCUCCGGGCAUCCUAGAGCGGCGGACUGGUGAGUAACGCGUGGAUGACGCACCCUUGCGACGGGGAUAGCCUGUGGAAACACAGGGUAAUACCGGAUAAGCUCAGUAUCGCUGGAGGGUACUGAGGAAAGGAGCUAUUGCUCCGCGCGAGGAGCGGUCCGCGUCCCAUCAGCUGGUUGGCGGGGUAAAGGCCCACCAAGGCAAUGACGGGUACCCGGCCUGAGAGGGCGAUCGGGCACAUUGGGACUGAGAUACGGCCCAGACUCCUACGGGAGGCAGCAGCUAAGAAUAUUCCGCAAUGCGCGAAAGCGUGACGGAGCGACGCCGCGUGGACGAUGAAGGCCGGAAGGUUGCAGAGUCCUUUGGCGCCCGAGGAAACGGCGGGGGAGCGGAAAGCCCCCGAACUGACUGUAGGGCGAGAACAAGCACCGGCUAAUUACGUGCCAGCAGCCGCGGUAACACGUAAGGUGCGAGCGUUGUUCGGAAUUAUUGGGCGUAAAGGGCAUGUAGGCGGCACUGUAAGUCGGGCGUGAAAUGCCGGGGCUCAACCCCGGCGCCGCGCCCGAUACUGCGGUGCUUGAGUCGGCGAGGCGGAGGCGGAAUUCCUGGUGUAGGGGUGAAAUCUGUAGAUAUCAGGAAGAACACCGGUGGCGAAGGCAGCCUUCGAGCGCACGACUGACGCUGAGGUGCGAAGGUGCGGGGAGCAAACAGGAUUAGAUACCCUGGUAGUCCGCACAGUAAACGAUGUACACUUGGUGUGCGGCCAAGAGGCUGUGCGCCAAAGCAAACGCGAUAAGUGUACCGCCUGGGGAGUAUGCCCGCAAGGGUGAAACUCAAAGGAAUUGACGGGGGCCCGCACAAGCGGUGGAGCAUGUGGUUUAAUUCGAAGCAACGCGAAGAACCUUACCAGGUCUUGACAUCCAACUAACGAAGUAGAGAUACAUCAGGUGCCCUUCGGGGAAAGUUGAGACAGGUGGUGCAUGGUUGUCGUCAGCUCGUGUCGUGAGAUGUUGGGUUAAGUCCCGCAACGAGCGCAACCCUUGCUAUUAGUUGCUACGCAAGAGCACUCUAAUAGGACUGCCGUUGACAAAACGGAGGAAGGUGGGGACGACGUCAAAUCAUCAUGCCCCUUAUGACCUGGGCUACACACGUACUACAAUGGCCAUCAACAGAGGGAAGCAAAAUAGCGAUAUGGAGCAAACCCCUAAAAAUGGUCUCAGUUCAGAUUGCAGGCUGCAACCCGCCUGCAUGAAGUCGGAAUUGCUAGUAAUCGCGGAUCAGCAUGCCGCGGUGAAUACGUUCCCGGGCCUUGUACACACCGCCCGUCACACCAUGGGAGCCGGUAAUACCCGAAGUCAGUAGCUUAACCGCAAGGAGAGCGCUGCCGAAGGUAGGAUUGGCGACUGGGGUGAAGUCGUAACAAGGUAGCCGUAUCGGAAGGUGCGGCUGGAUCACCUCCUU
rnacentral:rRNA from 1 species